rnacentral:rRNA from 1 species
CCUACGGGAGGCAGCAGUGGGGAAUAUUGGACAAUGGGCGAAAGCCUGAUCCAGCCAUGCCGCGUGUGUGAAGAAGGCCUUCGGGUUGUAAAGCACUUUCAGUGGGGAAGAAAUCCUUGGGGCUAAUACCCUCGAGGAAGGACAUCACCCACAGAAGAAGCACCGGCUAACUCCGUGCCAGCAGCCGCGGUAAUACGGAGGGUGCGAGCGUUAAUCGGAAUUACUGGGCGUAAAGCGCGCGUAGGCGGUCUGAUAAGCCGGUUGUGAAAGCCCCGGGCUCAACCUGGGAACGGCAUCCGGAACUGUCAGGCUAGAGUGCAGGAGAGGAAGGUAGAAUUCCCGGUGUAGCGGUGAAAUGCGUAGAGAUCGGGAGGAAUACCAGUGGCGAAGGCGGCCUUCUGGACUGACACUGACGCUGAGGUGCGAAAGCGUGGGGAGCAAACAGGAUUAGAUACCCCGGUAGUC